rnacentral:rRNA from 1 species
AUUGAACGCUGGCGGCAUGCCUUACACAUGCAAGUCGAACGGCAGCGGGCCUUCGGGUGCCGGCGAGUGGCGAACGGUGAGUAAUGCAUCGGAACGUGCCAUUGAGUGGGGGAUAACGUAGCGAAAGUUACGCUAAUACCGCAUAUUCUGUGAGCAGGAAAGCAGGGGACCGCAAGGCCUUGCGCUCUUUGAGCGGCCGAUGUCAGAUUAGCUAGUUGGUGAGGUAAAGGCUUACCAAGGCGACGAUCUGUAGCGGGUCUGAGAGGAUGAUCCGCCACACUGGAACUGAGACACGGUCCAGACUCCUACGGGAGGCAGCAGUGGGGAAUUUUGGACAAUGGGCGCAAGCCUGAUCCAGCCAUGCCGCGUGAGUGAAGAAGGCC